rnacentral:rRNA from 1 species
CAGGGAUUGCCCUAGUAACGGCGAGUGAAGCGGCAACAGCUCAAAUUUGAAAUCUGGCUUCGGCCCGAGUUGUAAUUUGCAGAGGAUGUUUCUGGCGCGGUGCCUUCCGAGUUCCCUGAAACGGGACGCCACAGAGGGUGAGAGCCCCGUAUGGUUGGACACCAAGCCUGUGUGAAACUCCUUCGACGAGUCGAGUAGUUUGGGAAUGCUGCUCAAAAUGGGAGGUAAAUCUCUUCUAAAGCUAAAUACCGGCCAGAGACCGAUAGCGCACAAGUAGAGUGAUCGAAAGAUGAAAAGCACCUUGAAAAGGGGGUUAAACAGUACGUGAAAUUGUUGAAAGGGAAGCACUUGUGACCAGACUUGUGCCGGGCGGUUCAUCCGGGGUUCUCCCCGGUGCACUCCGCCCGGUAUAGGCCAGCAUCGGUUCUUUCUGGGGGAUAAGAACGGUGGGAACGUGGCCCUCCCUCGGGAGGGUGUUAUAGCCCGCCGUACGAUACCCUGGAGGGGACCGAGGUUCGCGCUCCGCAAGGAUGCUGGCGUAAUGGUCAUCAGUGACCCGUCUUGAAACACGGACCAAGGAGUCGUCCAUUAGAGCGAGCGUUUGGGUGUCAAACCCGCACGCGUAAUGAAAGUGAAAUUAGGUGAGAGCUUCGGCGCAUCAUCGACCGAUCCUGAUGUUCUCGGAUGGAUUUGAGUAAGAGUUUUAACGGACGGACCCGAAAGACAGUGAACUAUGCUUGUAUAGGGUGAAGCCAGAGGAAACUCUGGUGGAGGCUCGCAGCGGUUCUGACGUGCAAAUCGAUCGUCAAAUAUGAGCAUGGGGGCGAAAGACUAAUCGAA